rnacentral:rRNA from 1 species
CUACGGGGCGCACCAGUGGGGAAUAUUGCACAAUGGAGGAAACUCUGAUGCAGCAACGCCGCGUGGAGGAUGACACUUUUCGGAGCGUAAACUCCUUUUAUAUAGGAAGAAGAUGACGGUACUAUAUGAAUAAGCGCCGGCUAACUCCGUGCCAGCAGCCGCGGUAAUACGGAGGGCGCAAGCGUUACUCGGAAUCACUGGGCGUAAAGAGCGUGUAGGCGGACUAAAAAGUCAGAAGUGAAAUCCUAUAGCUUAACUAUAGAACUGCUUCUGAAACUCUUAAUCUAGAAUGUGGGAGAGGUAGAUGGAAUUUCUGGUGUAGGGGUAAAAUCCGUAGAGAUCAGAAGGAAUACCGAUUGCGAAGGCGAUCUACUAGAACAUUAUUGACGCUGAGACGCGAAAGCGUGGGGAGCAAACAGGAUUAGAUACCCCAGUAGUC